AUGUAUGCUGGUUCAAACCCCACCUUGGAGAUUAGGAACUCUGACUUGCUCUCCAGCAUACCACCUGAACAUCUUCUUCAACUGCUCCACUUUGGCGGCGAUCUUCUCAUUGCUGAGGAAUGCAACAGCCUUCAGCGCGUGCCUGAACAUCCGAGAGCCACAGGGCACACCAAUAGCUUGGGCGCGUGCUGCCAUUGCCUGGACGCACUCUACGUUUGAGGCGAGCAGCCAUGGCUCAGCGAUGCACAACUUGGCAAUGUCACAGUCACCUAG
rnacentral:rRNA from 1 species